rnacentral:lncRNA from 1 species
UUUUUAAAGAUAUCUUGUUUGUACUUGUGAUUAGUUUUCCAAUAUCAAUUGCAGAAAAGGAAGCCGAAUUUUGAUAAAGGAAUCAUGCACGUACAUAUAAUGUAUCCUCUGCAAUUGUAAUUAAUUGACUGAACAGCAUUGUUAACAAAACAUAUUUCAGUUCUUAAUUUUUUAUCAAAUCAAGACAACAUGAAAGUAAAAAAUUGAAACAAAAACAGAUUUGUUUUUACGUAUUCAAAUACAGUCUGAUUAAAAUCAAACCUCUCAGCGCUCACGUUUCUGAUAUGUCGCUUGGAGGUCUGCAUAAACCCGCUUUGUGAUCACAUGCAGGUGACCUCGUAGGUGUGUAUUUUCGACCAAUGGGAAUGCUUCUCAAGUUCGACAUUCUGAAAGUUUAUCGUGUGGUAAAGGGAUGUUACAGUAACUCAUUUAAUUUACGACGAAAUCGUCAGUCAAAAGAAUUCAUUCGGAACUUCUUUCAAUGAUUCUAUCCCACCCGAGGUUACGAAUGAAUUUAUUUACUUCCGUUUUUUGCGUAGCAGAUUUUUAUAAUUUUAACAUAUUCUUGAUAUGUUGUGUUGACUAAUAUGAGUAGAGAUCAAAUUUGUAUGUUCACCUUAUUUAAAUAUAUUGUCAUUGAAAACACCCGUUUAUGGAGGAUGGCGACUUUUACUAUUUAUGAUAUGUGCAUACUUCGAACUUAAAUCAUACAUGUAAAUGAAUUUUAUCGCUAUGGAUUUGAAGAGUCCUGCCACCCCAGAAGAGUUUAGUACUGCUCUAAUAUAUGUGUGAUUUGUGGUUUCUCAUUUAUCCAAACUGACAUUAUCCCAUCAGGCAACAAAGUUGAGAACUGUUUGAGCAUGAACAUGAACACAUUAAUGGUGUAUGUAUUAAAUGUCAUAGACACACUGAGAAAGUGUUAAAACUACAAGAAGAGCUAAGAUCAUUACAGAAAGGAUCGAAUGACACAAGAAGUGGUGUGAGAAAGGCUUACAAUUUAACAUGUUCAAAAACAAAGUCAGAAAGUAAAAGACAAAAUUACGAAAAACGACCACUAUCACAACAGCGAAGUAAACAACAAAGAAUUAUAGAUAUUCCACGCGACAUAUCAGAAACGGGAGCGCUGAGAGGUUUUAUUUUAAUGAGACUGAUUCAAAUACCAAUGUUUUGCCAAUGGGAUUUCGACCACAUCAGGUAGCAAUACACAGUUAGAAGUUUAGUUUCGCAUUAUGGCCCCUGUGAAUUUUUUAAAUAUGAAAGUUUUUGUACAAUAAAAUUGAUUUUUAGAUAAUUGAAGAAUAAUAUAGCCUUCUUAGUGGGUUUAUAUGAACAUUAAGAUUGUUUUUAACAUGUUUUAUAGGCCAUUUAUAUGAUUGACAGUCCGUAUUUUCC